rnacentral:rRNA from 1 species
AACGAACGCUGGCGGCAUGCCUAACACAUGCAAGUCGAACGAGACCUUCGGGUCUAGUGGCGCACGGGUGCGUAACGCGUGGGAACCUGCCCUUAGGUUCGGAAUAACUCACCGAAAUGUGUGCUAAUACCGGAUAAUGUCUUCGGACCAAAGAUUUAUCGCCUUUGGAUGGGCCCGCGUAGGAUUAGCUAGUUGGUAGGGUAAAAGCCUACCAAGGCGACGAUCCUUAGCUGGUCUGAGAGGAUGAUCAGCCACACUGGGACUGAGACACGGCCCAGACUCCUACGGGAGGCAGCAGUGGGGAAUAUUGGACAAUGGGCGAAAGCCUGAUCCAGCAAUGCCGCGUGAGUGAUGAAGGCCUUAGGGUUGUAAAGCUCUUUUACCCGGGAUGAUAAUGACAGUACCGGGAGAAUAAGCUCCGGCUAACUCCGUG